GGGCGAAAGCCUGAUGCAGCGACGCCGCGUGGGGGAUGACGGUCUUCGGAUUGUAAACCCCUUUCAGUAGGGACGAAGCGCAAGUGACGGUACCUGCAGAAGAAGCACCGGCCAACUACGUGCCAGCAGCCGCGGUAAUACGUAGGGUGCGAGCGUUGUCCGGAAUUACUGGGCGUAAAGAGCUCGUAGGCGGUUUGUCGCGUCGUCCGUGAAAACUCGGAGCUUAACUCCGAGCUUGCGGGCGAUACGGGCAGACUUGAGUACUACAGGGGAGACUGGAAUUCCUGGUGUAGCGGUGAAAUGCGCAGAUAUCAGGAGGAACACCGGUGGCGAAGGCGGGUCUCUGGGUAGUAACUGACGCUGAGGAGCGAAAGCAUGGGUAGCGAACAGGAUUAGAUACCCUGGUAGUCCAUGCCGUAAACGGUGGGCGCUAGGUGUGGGGUCCUUCCACGGAUUCCGUGCCGUAGCUAACGCAUUAAGCGCCCCGCCUGGG
rnacentral:rRNA from 1 species